GUGAGGACAGUGCUGGCCUGACACCCAGGAAGGAAAUCUAAGCCAGUAGAAGGGUUCUACUUGAAGCUGGAGGUACCAGCAGCCACAUUCAUGCCCACCUUCUCAGGUGAGAAAGGCAUCCUGGACAGCCCCCCACUGGCCCACUCCCAAUGCUCUGCAGCAGUCUGGACUUGAAAAUCUGAAGAAACUAACUUGUGAUUUAAUACACUGACUUCCGAGGGCAUUUAAAGAGAGAUCUCAAAGACAGUAGUGAUUGCAAUCCUGCCAGUAAAAAGCCAAGCAGCUCAGGUCUCCAAGCCCUAAUAUGAGCGCUGUUUGGACUCAUCAACAGACAGAGUUGCUCUAGGCCAUCAUGAGCCUGGGAUCUGGGGCCGCUGUCCAGAAGCAGAGUCUGUCUCCACUUCUCCAAGUCCUACCUCUCAUCCCGCAGCACGACAAACCCAGACUCAGCACAGGGCCCUCAUACUGGGGCAUGAACAUCAGUCAUCCUGAUGUCUCACAGCCUCUCAUGCUCAGUAUCAUCCACAUUUAACAGAUCCCCACCAACGGCUGGGAAAUGACCGAAUCUCUACACAUGAGGACCCCCAACCAGGCUUUUCCUCACUGUAAAGUUACAGACAGUGUUGAUUGUAGAGAACCCUCUGUAACGCAGCAAGAGAAUAGAGGUGGGACCUGGCAACUGCAGUACCAAGAUUAACAGGUGGAAGAAUUCCAUUUGCAGAGAAACCCUGGAAACCUUCCCCUCCCUGAGGGAGUCUUCAUACAAUUACAGAACAUGCUCAGGAAAAGCUGGAAACCUUCCCUUCCCGACCUAGGCUUCAUCUAAUGGACAAAGCAUGUGUAAGAAAAGCCCCCAUAGAAAACUGGGGAAGGUGGGUGCUACAUAAAUGUCCCAUAAAGAGUUGUGUGCUUCAUGACCUUGGGCUUUUGGGGGCUUUACCACCAAUUCACUAGUCUACUUCCAUCCCUAGUUCUUUCCUCCCUACCAAAAUGUCUCCACUUCUUCUAAGCCUGU